CUCUGUUUAUCUGUUCUCUUCUACAUCUGUUACUCUCGUUUUUUAUCUAUCUAUCUGUCUAUCUAUCUAUCUAUCUGUCAGUAUAGGGUCGAGUGUUUCAGUGUUUCGAAGUCUCCGAGUCCGCUUCGUUUCGGUGUUCCGUUCGUGCAUCGUCUCCUGAUCCUCCUCUUCUUCUUUAGUGUUCUUCAGAGUUAGUUGUGCGGCGGUGUGUUCAUUUGCGUGACGUGUGCGUUCGUGUGUGUGUUCUCUGUUUUGGUGUCUGCUUUGUUUCUGUUAUUUUUUUUCUAUAUCUCCUUUCCAUAUUCGUCUGUAUACGUCUGUCUUUCUCUUUCGGUUUUCAUGUUUGUCUGUACGUCUUUUUUUGUUAUCCGUUCACUUUCGUUUGUUCGUCUUUCCCUCUUUCCCUCCUUUUAUGUAUACUCACGUUUCUCUUUCUCAUUCCCAGACUUUUCAAACUGGUCAAACUUCUGUGUCUCCUAUUUUCUGCAUUUUCAAGUCUUCGUUUGUCUGUCUCUCUAGAUCUAACUAUUUCUCUCUUCCCUUAACUCUGCAUCUAACUCAUUUUCUCUGUCUCACAUCUCUCUAAUAAAUCUUAAUUUGUCUAACCAGUCUCCCGCGUCUGUCUCUUUCUGUCUCUUUCUCUGCCUCUUUCUCUCACGGUCUUCCUAUUUGUCUUUCCUGUACUCGAUUCUGCUUGUAUCUCACGGCAAGGUUUCUCUCUUCUCUCUUCUCCCCAUCAUUGCCUUUGUGCCUCUGUCAAUUAGGUUUCUCUCUUCUCUCUCCCUCAUUGCUUCUCUGUGUCUCUGCCUCUGUUAAAUUUUCUCUCCUCUCUCCCUCAUAGCUUCUGUACCUCUUGUUUCUGUUAGGUUUCUCUCGUGUCUCCUUCAUUUCUUCUGUGCCUCUGUGUGAUAGUUUCCUCUCUCAUUGCUUCGGUGUCCAUGUCUCUGUCUGUCUGUCUCUACGUCGGUAAACACGUGGGCCUAAUUGGGGCCGUGAAUCGCGUGACAGCGAGGCGUGACAGGAGGGUUACGGCUCACGAGGAAAAGAUAAGCGCCUGCUCCACCGUAUCAUCAUCCUCUUAUCAUCCACGCCACACCUAAGUAAGCAAGAGAAGCAAAUCACGGAGAGUUAACACAAGGAACACAAGCAGGAAAACCGUCUGAAACCUUGGAUAACGAUAAUCUGUCAUGUAUCCUAAAAAAAAAUCGUUUACCCCAAAAAGACUCAUAAUCUAUUCAUUAGUGUGUAUUUAUCCAUUAGUAAGCAUCACUCUCUGGUUAGUCAGUACUCGUGUUUAAAAAAAAAUGUGCUUGGAAACUGAGAUAAGGUUGAAAAAUGCUCGUGGAAACUGAGGUGAAGUAGAAAAAUGCUCGUGGAAAUUGAGAUGAAGUAGUAAAAAUGUUCAUAGAAAUUGAGAUGAAGUUGAAAAAAUGCUCGUGGAAAUUGAGAUGAAGUAGUAAGAAUGCUCGUGAAAAUUGAGAUGAAAGUAGUAAAAAUGCUCGUGGAAAUUGAGAUGAAGUAGUAAGAAUGCUCGUGGAAAUUGAGAUGAAAGUAGUAAAAAUGCUCGUGGAAAUUGAGAUAAAGUAGUAAGAAUGCUCGUGGAAAUUGAGAUGAAAGUAGUAAAAAUGCUCGUGGAAAUUGAGAUGAAGUAGUAAAAAUGCUCGUGGAAAUUGAGAUGAAGUAGUAAAAAUGCUCGUGGAAAUUGAGAUGAAGUAGUAAAAAUGCUCGUGGAAAUUGAGAUGAAGUGGUAAAAAUGCUCGUGGAAAUUGAGAUGAAGUAGUAAAAAUGCUCGUGGAAAUUGAGAUGAAAGUAGUAAAAAUGCUCUUGGAAAAUGAGUUGAGUUAAAAAAUGUUCGUGGAAACUAAGAUGAGGUUAAAGAAAGUGCUCGCGGAAACUGGGACGAGGUGAAAUAAUGCUCGUGGAAAAUGAGAUGAGGUUAAAUAAAAGCUCGUGGCGAUUGAGAUGAGGCUGUAAAAAUGAAAACAAAUGUCAAACGUAAAAAUCAAAUGAAUCCACCUUCAGGUAUUUCUUUUCCAUGCAUCAGAGCGAAAUAGUGAAAACAUCCCGCGGUUAAAAGAAAAAAUGUAAGAAUGUUUUGCUCGGAUGAAGAGUCCCCCAAAUCAAGCAUCAUGUGGCCAGGGAACAUUAUAGAUACAAGGAGGACUAGUUUUUUUUUAUAGGCCCAUCCAUGAGCGUAUCCUUGCACAGCUUAAUAAGAAAAGAAAGAGGCUGUGAGGCGGCGGUGAUAAAAGAAAAAAAAAACAUUAGAGCAAUAUAAAAACAACACUCGAGGUCACUAUGAAUUCGCACUUAUGUAGCAUGGAAAUAGAAGUAAAGGUAAAAAAAGAGGAAGUGAAAAACAACAGUGACCGAGACCCUGAUUGUUUUUUGUUUUU